GACGCAGCGAUGCCGCGUGAGUGACGAAGGUCUUAGGAUUGUAAAGCUCUUUUCUGAGGGAAGAAUAGGUCUGGUAGGAAAUGACUGGAUUCUGACGGUACCUCAGGAAUAAGGAACGGCUAACUCCGUGCCAGCAGCCGCGGUAAUACGGAGGUUCCAAGCGUUGUUCGGAAUUACUGGGCGUAAAGGGAGCGCAGGCGGACAGGUCAGUUUUAAAGUGGAAUCCCAGGGCUCAACCCUGGACGUGCUUUGGAUACUGCCUGUCUUGAGUUCGUGAGAGGAAAGUGGAAUUCAGGGUGUAGCGGUGAAAUGCUUAGAUAUCCUGAGGAACACCAGUGGCGAAAGCGACUUUCUGGCACGAAACUGACGCUGAGGCUCGAAAGCAUGGGUAGCGAACGGGAUUAGAUACCCCGGUAGUCCAUGCCGUAAACGUUGUAUACUAGGUGCGGGAGGUAUUGACCCCUUCCGUGCCGAAGCUAACGCAUUAAGUAUACCGCCUGGGGAGUACGCGCGCAAGCGUGAAACUCAAAGGAAUUGACGGGG
rnacentral:rRNA from 1 species